rnacentral:rRNA from 1 species
AGGGUUUGAUCCUGGCUCAGGAUGAACGCUGGCGGCGUGCUUAACACAUGCAAGUCGAACGGGAAUUACUUUAUUGAAACUUCGGUCGAUUUAAUUUAAUUCUAGUGGCGGACGGGUGAGUAACGCGUGGGUAACCUGCCUUAUACAGGGGGAUAACAGUCAGAAAUGGCUGCUAAUACCGCAUAAGCGCACAGAGCUGCAUGGCUCAGUGUGAAAAACUCCGGUGGUAUAAGAUGGACCCGCGUUGGAUUAGCUUGUUGGUGGGGUAACGGCCCACCAAGGCGACGAUCCAUAGCCGGCCUGAGAGGGUGAACGGCCACAUUGGGACUGAGACACGGCCCAG